ensembl:lncRNA
CAGCUUUGAGAUCUAGCAGAACGGGUGAUCUCACUGUAAACCUGUAGGUAACAUGCUAACAAUUAUGAGGUUUUUUGGGCACAUAAUCUGUUGUGUGUACCUCAGCUGUGCAGUAGGCAGUGACCCAGCUCCACACAAAUCCUGGGUGUGGGAGCACAGUGGGAGCCCUCCUUUUUGUAAACACCAUCUGCCAGGUACUCCAUAUACUCAGUGGCCAUAAACAGGAGCUAGGUUUCCAUCUGUCUUUCCCUCACUUAAUGAAUAUGAGCUUUUUUUUUUGGUGCCAGAGUAUUCAAGAGGCUAUUACUAUUUUCAGUCUUUCUGCAGGAGAAGCAACUGGUGUUCUGGUUAACAUCUCUGCCUUACUGAUUUAAUGACAGACUGAGAAGCCCGUUAAAAUUAAGUGUGGACAGUAAUUCAGCUGGGGAUACUCAUUUACACUGACCUUCCUACUGCUGAGCAGAGCGCCUCAGGCAGCAGCGUGGCCACGGGGCUCCACCACAGCCCGGCUCCUGGAGCUCUGGGCACACACCUGCCUGUGCCUGGCCCAGCUGGCAGAGAGCAUGCAGAGCAACACGGCCCCGUCCUGCAGCGCUGCCCACAGCAACGCCUCCUGUCAGACCCCCGUCUGCUCCCCCAGCCCCAGUGUUCCCCAUAUUGGACGCCUGUUUCAUAAUUAAAUGAACCGUUUGCUUUUAUUAGUUACACACCGCGACUCAGCGCCCAUCAGGAUGGUCUGUCAGGUGCCGUUGAGAAAGGGCAGUAAAAACAUGGCAAGGAAAUCAUUUUGCUGGUAUGAGCCUAUCUACUGAGCCUUAAAAAAGCUGCUUGAGGCUUUAUUAUUAUUAUUAAAGUUCCAAAGAGAGAGACUGGGAACACUUGAUGGCAACAGCACUGAGCAGCCCCACAGCACAGCAGCUCAGGAUUCCCUCUCCUUCAGUCACGUUUCAGAAGCAGCCCUAAUUGAGGGCUGUUCAUCAGCACUGUUAGCAGUUACAGGCUGCAUCUGCGCAACGCUCCUUUUGGCAGAACGGCUUCUUUUAAUAAAACUUCGGGAAAUUAAA